rnacentral:rRNA from 1 species
CCUACGGGGUGCAGCAGUGAGGAAUAUUGGUCAAUGGACGAGAGUCUGAACCAGCCAAGUAGCGUGAAGGAUGACUGCCCUAUGGGUUGUAAACUUCUUUUAUAUGGGAAUAAAAUGUUCCACGUGUGGGAUUUUGUAUGUACCAUAUGAAUAAGGAUCGGCUAACUCCGUGCCAGCAGCCGCGGUAAUACGGAGGAUCCGAGCGUUAUCCGGAUUUAUUGGGUUUAAAGGGAGCGUAGGUGGAUUGUUAAGUCAGUUGUGAAAGUUUGCGGCUCAACCGUAAAAUUGCAGUUGAAACUGGCAGUCUUGAGUACAGUAGAGGUGGGCGGAAUUCGUGGUGUAGCGGUGAAAUGCUUAGAUAUCACGAAGAACUCCGAUUGCGAAGGCAGUUCACUGGACUGCAACUGACACUGAGGCUCGAAAGUGUGGGUAUCAAACAGGAGUAGAUACCCGAGUAGUC